rnacentral:rRNA from 1 species
GAUGAACGCUAGCGGCAGGCUUAACACAUGCAAGUCGAGGGGCAGCACGAUCUUCGGAUUGGUGGCGACCGGCGCACGGGUGCGUAACGCGUGAGCAACAUACCUAUAUCAUCGGGAUAAUCCGGGGAAACCUGGUCUAAUACCGAAUAGUUUUUUUGUGUGGCAUCACAUGAUAAAUAAAAUUUUGGUGGAUAUAGAUUGGCUCGCGUAACAUUAGCUAGAUGGUAGAGUAACGGUUUACCAUGGCGGCGAUGUUUAGGGGUUCUGAGAGGAAGGUCCCCCACACUGGAACUGAGACACGGUCCAGACUCCUACGGGAGGCAGCAGUGAGGAAUAUUGGUCAAUGGUCGGAAGACUGAACCAGCCAUGCCGCGUGCAGGAAGACGAUUCUAUGGAUUGUAAACUGCUUUUGUAUGGGAGCAAUAAGGACUAUGUAUAGUCUGAUGAGAGUACCAUACGAAUAAGCACCGGCUAACUCCGUGCCAGCAGCCGCGGUAAUACGGAGGGUGCAAGCGUUAUCCGGAAUUAUUGGGUUUAAAGGGUGCGUAGGCUGUAUUAUAAGUCAGCGGUAAAAUGUUCCGGCUUAACCGGGGAUGUGCCGUUGAUACUGUAAUGCUGGAAUACGGAUGCUGUGGGAGGAAUGUGUAGUGUAGCGGUGAAAUGCAUAGAUAUUACACAGAACACCGAUUGCGAAGGCAUCUCACAAAGCCGUUAUUGACGCUGAUGCACGAAAGCGUGGGGAUCAAACAGGAUUAGAUACCCUGGUAGUCCACGCAGUAAACGAUGAUAACUAGUUGUUGGUGAUAUACAAUCAGUGACUAAGCGAAAGCGAUAAGUUAUCCACCUGGGGAGUACGUUCGCAAGAAUGAAACUCAAAGGAAUUGACGGGGGCCCGCACAAGCGGAGGAACAUGUGGUUUAAUUCGAUGAUACGCGAGGAACCUUACCCGGGCUCGAACGGCUAAUGAAUAACACAGAGAUGUGUUAGCUAGCAAUAGCAUUAGUCGAGGUGCUGCAUGGUUGUCGUCAGCUCGUGCCGUGAGGUGUCGGCUUAAGUGCCAUAACGAGCGCAACCCUUGUCGUUAGUUGCCAUCAGGUUAUGCUGGGGACUCUGACGAGACUGCCACCGUAAGGUGUGAGGAAGGGGGGGAUGACGUCAAAUCAGCACGGCCCUUACGUCCGGGGCGACACACGUGUUACAAUGGGGGGUACAGAGGGCAGCUACCAGGCGACUGGAUGCGAAUCUCGAAAACCCUUCUCAGUUCGGAUCGAAGUCUGCAACUCGACUUCGUGAAGUUGGAUUCGCUAGUAAUCGCGCAUCGGCCAUGGCGCGGUGAAUACGUUCCCGGGCCUUGUACACACCGCCCGUCAAGCCAUGGAAGCUGGGGGUGCCUGAAGUCCGAGACCGCGAGGAUCGGCCUAAGGCAAAACUAGUAACUGGGGCU